CCCUGUGAGGGCGAGGGCGCGGCGGCGGCGGCUUUUCUCAGCACCUCAAGGGCCUUAGAAUGGCGACGGGCGAGCCGCGAGGAGGGUUCCUUCUUAAAGGAGAAGUUGGAGGAAAUUCUGUUAUUGGAAGUCUUGUGACUGUAUGAGGACAGUGCUGGAGUACUGCCAUGGUACUUUGACACAUUAUCAUCCUAGUAAAUGACCCAAGUGUUGAAAUUCA